UUGCAGAAAAAGGGAGGAGAGAAGGGUAGAAAUUAGGGAAGAAAUGCAGAGAAUGGGGAGAAUUUAGAGGAGAGCUCGAGAGAGAGAGAAAUCUGAGAGGAUUGUAUUCAAUUCCAAAAGCAUACCCUUAGUACAAAUUUAUAACCUUCCCCAAAACUAACUCUCAACAAACUCUAAUUCAAAAUUUACUCAAAUAACAAAAUAACAAUCUGAAAACUACUGCAGGGUUGUUACAGAUUAUGAAGGCACGCAGGCCAGAACGCAAAAUUGUGUUAGUAGAGAAAAUGAUUUAUAAGGGAAAGAUCCAAGAAGGGUAGGUGUUUCAUUUCAUUUCCAUGAAGCUACAAUCCCGGAGCAAUAAACAAAUAUUUUCAUUCUCAA